GGUGCCAUAGCUCAGUUGGUAGAGCAAAGGACUGAAAAUCCUUGUGUCCCCGGUUCGAUUCCUGGUGGCAACA
rnacentral:tRNA from 1 species